rnacentral:rRNA from 1 species
AGAGAGAGACAUGCGCGCAUAUCAAUAAGCGGAGGAAAAGAAACUAACUAGGAUUCCCUCAGUAACGGCGAGUGAAGCGGGAAGAGCUCAAAUUUGAAAUCUUCAAGGUUUUACCUUGACGAAUUGUAGUUUAAAGAAGUGUUUUCUGCUGAAGUUUUGGUAAAAGUUCUUUGGUAAUAGGACAUCAUAGAGGGUGAGAAUCCCGUAUUUGACCAUUAUUUUCAGCUUUGUGAUACACUUUCAAAGAGUCGGAUUGUUUGGGAAUGCAGUCCAAAAUGGGUGGUAAAUUUCAUCUAAAGCUAAAUAUUGGCGAGGAGACCGAUAGCGAACAAGUACCGUGAGGGAAAGAUGAAAAGAACUUUGAAAAGAGAGUUAAACAGUACGUGAAAUUGUCAAAAGGGAAGCGUUUGACACCAGUGUUGUUUUCUCGAAAAUCAAUUAAAAAUGGCUCGAUUUUGUAUUGCUGAGACCUUAAAAGCUCACUGUACAUUUUUCGUGUCUUUUUUAAUGCACUUUUCGUUUAACAAGUCGACAUCAGUUUCUUUUGUUGUAAAAGGGUCAUUGGAAGGUGGCUUUCUUUUCGGAGAAAGUGUUUAUAGCCUUUGGCCUCUGCAAUCGAAGAGACUGAGGUCUGCAGCGUAGACUCUUCGGGGUUAGAUACAUUUGUGCUAAGUUAUAGCUUUUUAUAGACAACUUGUUGACUAUAAUUAGUCUUGUAGCUUACUCGCUUAUGCUAUUUUACCUACGCUUAGGAUGUUGAAGAUGUAGCACAUCAU